ensembl:snRNA U4 U4 spliceosomal RNA
AGCUUUGUGCAGUGGCAGUAUCACAGCCAAUGAGGUUUAUCCGAGGUGCCAUUAUUGCUAACUGAAAACAAAAAGAAAGUAACUGUUAGUUUCAGAGCCAUCUUUUUAAUAACAUCCACACCUAACAGUGUU